rnacentral:rRNA from 1 species
GUCUACUGCCAUGCCACCUGAACAAGCCCUAUGUCAUCUGAUCUUGGAAGCUAAGCAGGGGCCUGGUUAGUACUUGGAUGGGAGACCACCUAGGAAGACCAGGUGCUAUAGGCG